rnacentral:rRNA from 1 species
AUUGAACGCUGGCGGCAUGCCUUACACAUGCAAGUCGAAUGGUAACAGGUCUUCGGAUGCUGACGAGUGGCGCACGGGUGAGUAAUACAUCGGAACGUGCCCGAUCGUGGGGGAUAACGAAGCGAAAGCUUUGCUAAUACCGCAUACGAUCUACGGAUGAAAGCAGGGGACCGCAAGGCCUUGCGCGAACGGAGCGGCCGAUGGCAGAUUAGGUAGUUGGUGGGAUAAAAGCUUACCAAGCCGACGAUCUGUAGCUGGUCUGAGAGGACGACCAGCCACACUGGGACUGAGACACGGCCCAGACUCCUACGGGAGGCAGCAGUGGGGAAUUUUGGACAAUGGGCGAAAGCCUGAUCCAGUCAUGCCGCGUGCAGGAUGAAGGCCUUCGGGUUGUAAACUGCUUUUGUACGGAACGAAAAGACUCUGGUUAAUACCUGGGGUCCAUGACGGUACCGUAAGAAUAAGCACCGGCUAACUACGUG